rnacentral:rRNA from 1 species
GUGGGGAAUAUUGCACAAUGGGGGAAACCCUGAUGCAGCAACGCCGCGUGGGUGAAGAAGUAUUUCGGUAUGUAAAGCCCUAUCAGCAGGGAAGAGAAUGACGGUACCUGACUAAGAAGCCCCGGCUAACUACGUGCCAGCAGCCGCGGUAAUACGUAGGGGGCAAGCGUUAUCCGGAUUUACUGGGUGUAAAGGGAGCGUAGACGGUUGUGCAAGUCUGAAGUGAAAGCCCGCGGCUCAACUGCGGAACGGCUUUGGAAACUGUGUAACUGGAGUGCUGGAGAGGUAAGCGGAAUUCCUGGUGUAGCGGUGAAAUGCGUAGAGAUCAGGAGGAACACCGGCGGCGAAGGCGGCUUACUGGACAGUAACUGACGUUGAGGCUCGAAAGCGUGGGGAGCAAACAGG